CCUACGGGAGGCUGCAGUAGGGAAUUUUCGGCAAUGGGGGGAACCCUGACCGAGCAACGCCGCGUGAACGAAGAAGUUAUUCGUAAUGUAAAGUUCUAUUAACAGGGAAGAAAGAGACAUUUGACGGCACAUGAAGCAUAAGCUCCGGCUAACUACGUGCCAGCAGCCGCGGUAAUACGUAGGGAGCGUGCGUUAUCAGGAAUUAUUGGGCGAAAAGGGUGCGUAGAUGGCAUAGUAAGUCUUUUGUAAAAAUGAUGGGCUAAACCCAGUAGGGCAAAAGAUACUGCAAAGCUAGAGUAUGACAGAGGCAAGUGGAACUACAUGUGUAGCGGUGAAAUGCGUAAAUAUAUGUAAGAACACCAGUGGCGAAGGCGGCUUGCUGGGUCGAUACUGACAUUGAGGCACGAAAGCGUGGGGAGCAAACAGGAUUAGAUACCCCAGUAGUC
rnacentral:rRNA from 1 species